rnacentral:rRNA from 1 species
GAUGAACGCUGGCGGCGUGCCUAAUACAUGCAAGUCGAGCGAACGGACGAGAAGCUUGCUUCUCUGAUGUUAGCGGCGGACGGGUGAGUAACACGUGGAUAACCUACCUAUAAGACUGGGAUAACUUCGGGAAACCGGAGCUAAUACCGGAUAAUAUUUUGAACCGCAUGGUUCAAAAGUGAAAGACGGUCUUGCUGUCACUUAUAGGUGGAUCCGCGCUGCAUUAGCUAGUUGGUAAGGUAACGGCUUACCAAGGCAACGAUGCAUAGCCGACCCGAGAGGGUGAUCGGCCACACUGGAACUGAGACACGGUCCAGACUCCUACGGGAGGCAGCAGUAGGGAAUCUUCCGCAAUGGGCGAAAGCCUGACGGAGCAACGCCGCGUGAGUGAUGAAGGUCUUCGGAUCGUAAAACUCUGUUAUUAGGGAAGAACAUAUGUGUAAGUAACUGUGCACAUCUUGACGGUACCUAAUCAGAAAGCCACGGCUAACUACGUG